rnacentral:rRNA from 1 species
AUGGAGGGCGCGGCGCAGACCAUCGUCGGCACUGUUGGCCGGCUGUUGGGCGAGGAGUUCCGGCAGCUCCGAGCCGUUGGCCACGAGGUUGUGGAGCUGAGGGACGAGCUGGCCACCAUGAACGCCCUCCUGCGCAUGCAGGCUGAAGCCGAAGACGGCGCCGUGGACCACUUCAUCCGGGAGUGGAUGAAGCAGCUGCGCGAGCUAGCUUAUGACGCCGAGGACUGCGUUGACCUCUACAUAUUCCGCAUCAAGUGCCGUUUUGGCGACGGGUUCCUCGCCUGGUCCAAUCGCCUCCUUGUGACGUUCUUCCCUCGUCGUCGCCUUGCUGGCGAGAUCAAGUCCCUAGGAGCCCGUGCUGUCUCCAUCAGCGAGCGCCAUGCUCGCUACAGCGAGGCACUGCGCCGCUCUCCGGCUUUAGCCCUCAUGCCGACAGCGUCGGCAUCCGAGCUUGUGCUCCGCCCUGCCAACGAUCCUGAUCAGCUCGUUGGCAUCCAGGACGAGGCUAACACCCUGGCUGAAAUGGUCAAGGCGAGGAAUGACGAAGAGGUUGACAGCAAACCCAAGGUCUUCUCCAUCCUGGGUUUCGGGGGGCUCGGAAAGACGACACUGGCCAUGGAGGUGUACCGGCUGCUGGAGGCGGAGUUCGAGCACCAAGCGCAAGUAUCGGUGUCUCAGGCGUUUGACGGCACCAAGGACAUCCAAGGAUUGCUGAAGCGCGUGCUUCGACAAAUUAUCAUGGCGAAACCACAAAAUGAGAAGGAAGAGAAUAUCGGCGACAUGGAUGUGAUGAACCUGGCCAGGAAGCUCAAGGAGCAUCUCGCGGACAAGAGGUACAUUAUUGUUAUCGAUGAUGUAUGGACAACAACGGCGUGGGAUGCCAUCCGGGCCCACUUGCCAGAUAGCAAAUGCGGUAGCAGAAUCAUUGUUACCACCCGGAUAGAGACCGUGGCCAAAGAAUGCAGUUCUCCAAGUGUUUCUGAUUAUUACAUCUACCGUCUUAAGCGACUCAAGACAAAAUACUCCAAGGAGUUGUUCCUCAGUAGAGCAUUUGGUUCCAUGACAGCUACUUGCCCAAAUGAGUUGAAAGUUAUAAUGGACAAUAUCUUGAAGAAGUGUGAUGGGCUACCAUUGGCCAUUGUUAGCAUUGCCAGCCUCUUGGCGAACUAUAAAUCUCCUGAGAGAAAAAGCAGGUGGGAAACAAUUUGCAACUCCAUUGGUUCACUGAUGGAGAGCAACAGUAAACUUGAGGGGAUGAAGCAGAUACUGACACUCAGCUACAACCACCUGCCUUACCACCUGAAGGUUUGCAUGAUGUACCUUAGUAUUUUCCCAGAGGAUUAUGAGAUCAACAAGAAUCGUCUCUUGUAUAGGUGGAUUGCCGAAGGAUUGGUUGAGGAGAAGCGAGGAUUGACUCUGCUGAAGGUUGCAGAAGCCUACUACGAUGAGCUAGUGAGCAGGAGCAUGAUUAGUCCGGCAUUCUCUGUGAACUUUUAUGGGAAGGUUGAAGCAUGCCGGGUGCAUGAUAUUAUGGUUGAAGUCUUGGUCUCCAAAUCCUUGGAGGCCAACUUUGUUAGCCUAGUUGGCGGGCAGUUUGAAGGGAUGUUCUAUGACCGUGCUCGUCGCCUUUCCAUCCAAGGUGUAGAACAGGACCCUACAUCCAAGAAAAGGGCAGCAGUUGGUGGUAAGAGGAGCAACAUGGGGGGGAUGGACUUGCAGCAUGUUCGGUCACUGAGCAAUUUUGAGCUCCAAGGACAGAAGCUGCUUGAUCGGCUUCACGAGUUCACUCUGCUAAGGGUUCUUGAUCUGGAAGACUGCAAGGGGCUUGAAAACAAGCAUGUGAAGGACAUCUGCCGAUUGUACCUCCUAAAGUUUUUGAGCAUGAAAGGCACAUGUAUCAGUGUGAUUCCUAAAAAAGUCGCCAAGCUAGAGCAUUUGGAAGUGCUUGAUGUGCGUGAGACAAACAUCCGUGAGAAGAUACCAGAUACAGUGACAAAUCUGCAGAAACUUGUGCGCAUGGAUUUGUGCCACGAGGUUGAUUGGUGGGCUAUGUGGCAUUUUCCCAAGGGGCUCUCUAAAAUGAAGGCAUUGUGCGAGGUGGAACGUGCACUGGUAAGUAAUGUUGAAGUCGCCAAACAGUUUGGCCAACUAGGACAACUGUGUCGCAUAUAUCUGUUUGUUGACGCCCAGAAAGAUCCCAAGGUUCUCCAAGAGGUUGCCCUCUCCCUCAGCAAGUUGUACUCCCUCCGGUAUCUCUCCAUUGCCCGCAUGGGUGGCGAGGGCACCAAAAUGGACUUUAUCCUUGAACUUGAGACGCCGCCACGGCUCCUCCGGUACUUUUACAUCGAUGGCCAGGUUUCAAAAUUGCCUGACUGGAUGAUCGAACUAUCAUAUCUGACUGCCUUUGGCGGGAUUUGGUUGAAUUUACGUGGUGAACAAUUGUAUGGUGCCCUUUGUAAGUUGCCCAACCUGCAGACCAUCAGCCUGUGGCAGGAUUGCUACAUUGACCAAAAACUUGUUGCACGCACUGAACACAAGUUUCCGGCGUUGAAGACACUUGCCUUGUGCUCAAUUUAUUGUCACAACCCCGAAGUGAUAGAGUUCACGGAAGGAUCCAUGGAUAUGCUUGAGGAGCUUACAGUGAGGUUCUGCGAGCGUAACAGCAGGAGGAGCAUUGUUGGCAUCCAGCACUUGAAAAACCUGAAAGAGGUGCAGCUUAGAGGUAUGAGAGACGACUAUUUUCUCGACCUUGCAUUGAAGGAGCUCAAUACCGAGAGUAACAGCCGCCCCAAGGGCCAUCAAUUCAAGAUUGGAGUGAGGUACGAUUAA